rnacentral:rRNA from 1 species
GACGAACGCUGGCGGCGUGCUUAACACAUGCGAGUCGAACGAUGAAGCCUAGCUUGCUAGGUGGAUUAGUGGCGAACGGGGGAGUAAUACGUGAGUAACCUACCUUGAACUCUGGGAUAAGCCCGGGAAACUGGGGCUAAUACCGGAUACGACCAAUCUCCGCAUGGGGUGUUGGUGGAAAGCGUUAUGUAGGGGUUAUAGAUGGGCUCGCGGCCUAUCAGCUUGUUGGUGAGGUAACGGCUCACCAAGGCGACGACGGGUAGCCGGCCUGAGAGGGUGACCGGCCACACUGGGACUGAGACACGGCCCAGACUCCUACGGGAGGCAGCAGUGGGGAAUAUUGCACAAUGGGCGCAAGCCUGAUGCAGCGACGCCGCGUGAGGGAUGACGGCCUUCGGGUUGUAAACCUCUGUUAGCAGGGAAGAAGAGAGAUUGACGGUACCUGCAGAGAAAGCGCCGGCUAACUACGUGCCAGCAGCCGCGGUAAUACGUAGGGCGCGAGCGUUGUCCGGAAUUAUUGGGCGUAAAGAGCUUGUAGGCGGUUUGUCGCGUCUGCUGUGAAAGGCCGGGGCUUAACCCCCGUGUAUUGCAGUGGGUACGGGCAGACUAGAGUGCAGUAGGGGAGACUGGAAUUCCUGGUGUAGCGGUGAAAUGCGCAGAUAUCAGGAGGAACACCGAUGGCGAAGGCAGGUCUCUGGGCUGUAACUGACGCUGAGAAGCGAAAGCAUGGGGAGCGAACAGGAUUAGAUACCCUGGUAGUCCAUGCCGUAAACGUUGGGCACUAGGUGUGGGGGACAUUCCACGUUUUCCGCGCCGUAGCUAACGCAUUAAGUGCCCCGCCUGGGGAGUACGGCCGCAAGGCUAAAACUCAAAGAAAUUGACGGGGGCCCGCACAAGCGGCGGAGCAUGCGGAUUAAUUCGAUGCAACGCGAAGAACCUUACCAAGGCUUGACAUAUACUGGACCGCAUCAGAGAUGGUGUUUCCCUUCGGGGCUGGUAUACAGGUGGUGCAUGGUUGUCGUCAGCUCGUGUCGUGAGAUGUUGGGUUAAGUCCCGCAACGAGCGCAACCCUCGUUCUAUGUUGCCAGCACGUUAUGGUGGGGACUCAUAGGAGACUGCCGGGGUCAACUCGGAGGAAGGUGGGGAUGACGUCAAAUCAUCAUGCCCCUUAUGUCUUGGGCUUCACGCAUGCUACAAUGGCCGGUACAGAGGGUUGCGAUACUGUGAGGUGGAGCUAAUCCCUAAAAGCCGGUCUCAGUUCGGAUUGGGGUCUGCAACUCGACCCCAUGAAGUCGGAGUCGCUAGUAAUCGCAGAUCAGCAACGCUGCGGUGAAUACGUUCCCGGGCCU